CCCUUAGAUGUUCUGGGCAGCACGCGCGCUACAAUGGUCUUCGCAAACGUAUGCAUUCUCGAAGGAGAAUGCCAAUCUUGGAAUCUAUGCCUUGGUCGGGACAGUUGCUUGCAAUUUUUCGACUCGAACCAGGAAUUCCUUGUAAUCGUGAUUCAUCACAUCACGAUGAAUACGUCCCUGCCCUUUGUACACACCGCCCGUCGCUCCUACCGAUCGAAGAGUUAGGUGAAUUGUUUUGAUCGAUAAGAUUUGACUAUGGUCAACUCUCGUUGUGAAAUUCUGUGAAUCUGACUGUUUAGAGGAAGGAAAAGUCGUAACA
rnacentral:rRNA from 1 species